AAAGAGGGGAUCGGCAGGUCCUGGAUCAGUCUGAUGUCUUUAAACCAGCCUUAUUAUAGAGGGGAUCAGCAGGUCCUGGAUCAGUCUGAUGUCUUUAAACCAGCCUUAUUAUAGAGGGGAUCGGCAGGUCCUGGAUCAGUCUGAUGUCUUUAAACCAGCCUUAUUAUAGAGGGGAUCGGCAGGUCCUGGAUCAGUCUGAUGUCUUUAAACCAGCCUUAUUAUAGAGGGGAUCAGCAGGUCCUGGAUCAGUCUGAUGUCUUUAAACCAGCCUUAUUAUAGAGGGGAUCAGCAGGUCCUGGAUCAGUCUGAUGUCUUUAAACCAGCCUUAUUAUAGAGGGGAUCAGCAGGUCCUGGAUCAGUCUGAUGUCUUUAAACCAGCCUUAUUAUAGAGGGGAUCAGCAGGUCCUGGAUCAGUCUGAUGUCUUUAAACCAGCCUUAUUAUAGAGGGGAUCAGCAGGUCCUGGAUCAGUCUGAUGUCUUUAAACCAGCCUUAUUAUAGAGGGGAUCGGCAGGUCCUGGAUCAGUCUGAUGUCUUUAAACCAGCCUUAUUAUAGAGGGGAUCAGCAGGUCCUGGAUCAGUCUGAUGUCUUUAAACCAGCCUUAUUAUAGAGGGGAUCAGCAGGUCCUGGAUCAGUCUGAUGUCUUUAAACCAGCCUUAUUAUAGAGGGGAUCGGCAGGUCCUGGAUCAGUCUGAUGUCUUUAAACCAGCCUUAUUAUAGAGGGGAUCAGCAGGUCCUGGAUCAGUCUGAUGUCUUUAAACCAGCCUUAUUAUAGAGGGGAUCGGCAGGUCCUGGAUCAGUCUGAUGUCUUUAAACCAGCCUUAUUAUAGAGGGGAUCAGCAGGUCCUGGAUCAGUCUGAAGUCUUUAAACCAGUCUGAUGUCUUUAAACCAGCCUUAUUAUAGAGGGGAUCAGCAGGUCCUGGAUCAGUCUGAUGUCUUUAAACCAGCCUUAUUAUAGAGGGGAUCGGCAGGUCCUGGAUCAGUCUGAUGUCUUUAAACCAGCCUUAUUAUAGAUGG